rnacentral:rRNA from 1 species
UGGAACCUACCUUGUACAGGGGAAUAGCCCAGGGAAANUUGGAUUAAUGCCCCNUGGUACCAUGACCCGGCAUCGGGAUAUGGUUAAAGCCUUCGGGCGGUAACAAGGAUGGCCAUGGGUCCCAUUAGUUUGUUGGUAAGGNAACGGCUUACCAAGANUACGAUGGGUAGGGGCCAUGAGAGGGGGAUCCCCCACANUGGUACUGAGACACGGACCAGACUCCUACGGGAGGCAGGCAGUGAGGAAUAUUGGACAAUGGAGGAGACUCUGAUCCAGCCAUGCCGCGUGCAGGAAGAAUGCCCUAUGGGUAGUAAACUGCUUUUAUACGGGAAGAAAAAGAGCUACGUGUAGCUUACUGACGGUACCGUAAGAAUAAGGACCGGCUAACUCCGUGCC